GACUCCGUAGCUCAGUCUGGUCAGAGCGAGAGGCCGUUAACCUCUGUCAGCGUAGGUUCAAAUCCUACCGGGGUCGCCA
rnacentral:tRNA from 1 species